UGACUGGCAUUCUACGGAAAUCUUUCCAAAUGUAAACUAGCUUUUUUUAAUUCAUAUGCAAAGACUCUUUGCUAGCUUGAGAGGCAAAUUCUCGGCAGAACAGCACCCAAAUAAUCUACGGCAAUGUUACCACGCUCUGCUCUAGGGGUGGUGGGUGUAUAAGACAGGGACAACUGAGUUUCCAUACUGAUGAUUCCACCUGUAUCUCAGGAUGAAACACCGCAAUAAUCUAUUAUAUUUCUAUGAUACCGAUAAGGUAUAUCAAAACGAAAUUUUCCGCAAAAAUCAAAGAAUAUAUUAAAAACGCAAUGUGAAACACCUAACCACAUUAUCAUAUUCUACAGCACAGGCUCAUUCAAUUCAUAUAAUGUUAUUGUUUUCAUGCCACUGAAGUGGACAAGUAUCAACAUACUCGUAUAAAUUUGAAUGUUUAAGAAUUUUGCGUACCUAUGUCGCAAGUUAACAUUUUCAUUGAUUUGUAGACUUUGAGGUACCUGUUUCAAGAUAAUGCUAAUAGAAAGGUCAGUAGGGUAGCACAAUGGCUACUUGGAAGGUUAGGAAUAUUUCGAAAAAUUGCAAAAAGUUUCGGUGAAAUUCCUUUUAAAACUUCAAAGAAAAAGUUAUUGUAUUGGAAAUGUUAAAAAAACAUUCUGAUUUACAAUUCUUGAGAUGGAGUCUGAUACUAUCCAAAUAAGGGAGUAGCAGACAGCAUUGAUUAAAAAAUUAAAAACUGAGGAUUAACAAGUGUGUUGGUGACCUGCUUUGUGCACCUUCGAGGUUGUUGGCUGUUUUCGAAUGAAAGUCUGCUCGAAUUGUAAUGAGGCAGCAUAUUAGUUAGAUGUUCGUAUUAAUCUUAUGAAUGGUGGUAUGUUUUUGGUGGAGCCCUUCAUAUAGAAGUGACCUGUUGGAGUUCAAGUUUAAGUUGUUUUCUUAACCCAUUUACGAAAAAUAAUAGGAAUUUCCAAUAAUAUUGUUAUCUAUCUUCACCUUCCAAGUAUUGAUUAUGCUCAAUAACAAUUUAUCGUUUUCUAAGAGAAUUGUUAAAAAACCUUGUAUAAUGGAAUUAUUUAUCAACCAGAUGAAAAAGGUUCAUUAUCAACAAUAAAGAUAUUUAAUCAAACACUGGCCUAAAAUGUAGGUUUUCUAUUU